rnacentral:rRNA from 1 species
UGGGGAAUAUUGGACAAUGGGCGCAAGCCUGAUCCAGCCAUGCCGCGUGUGUGAAGAAGGCCUUUUGGUUGUAAAGCACUUUAAGCGAGGAGGAGGCUACCGAGAUUAAUACUCUUGGAUAGUGGACGUUACUCGCAGAAUAAGCACCGGCUAACUCUGUGCCAGCAGCCGCGGUAAUACAGAGGGUGCGAGCGUUAAUCGGAUUUACUGGGCGUAAAGCGUGCGUAGGCGGCUUUUUAAGUCGGAUGUGAAAUCCCUGAGCUUAACUUAGGAAUUGCAUUCGAUACUGGGAAGCUAGAGUAUGGGAGAGGAUGGUAGAAUUCCAGGUGUAGCAGUGAAAUGCGUAGAGAUCUGGAGGAAUACCGAUGGCGAAGGCAGCCAUCUGGCCUAAUACUGACGCUGAGGUACGAAAGCAUGGGGAGCAAACAGG